AUCGCUUCUCGGCCUUCUGGCUAAGAUCAAGUGUGGUAUCUGUUCUUAUCCCUUUAAAAUAUUUGAAGAUAACGCCCUAAGCUAAGUGAAGCCAAU
rnacentral:snRNA from 1 species